rnacentral:rRNA from 1 species
AACGAACGCUGGCGGCAUGCCUAACACAUGCAAGUCGAACGAGACCUUCGGGUCUAGUGGCGCACGGGUGCGUAACGCGUGGGAAUCUGCCCUUCGGUUGGGAAUAACUGAGAGAAAUUUCAGCUAAUACCUUAUAAUGUCUUCGGACCAAAGAUUUAUCGCCGAGGGAUGAGCCCGCGUAGGAUUAGGUAGUUGGUGGGGUAAUGGCCUACCAAGCCGACGAUCCUUAGCUGGUCUGAGAGGAUGAUCAGCCACACUGGGACUGAGACACGGCCCAGACUCCUACGGGAGGCAGCAGUGGGGAAUAUUGGACAAUGGGCGAAAGCCUGAUCCAGCAAUGCCGCGUGAGUGGUGAAGGCCUUAGGGUUGUAAAGCUCUUUUACCCGGGAUGAUAAUGACAGUACCGGGAGAAUAAGCUCCGGCUAACUCCGUG